AAUAUUUGACAAUGGGGGCAACCCUGAUCCAGCCAUGCCGCGUGUGUGAAGAAGGNCCNNGGAUUNUNAAGCACUUUAAGUGGNNNNNAAGGGCUUUAGGUUAAUACACUGAAAUUUUGAGUUUAUCAACAGAAUAAGCAGCGGCUAACUAUGUGCCAGCAGCCGCGGUAAUACAGAAGGUGCACGCGUUAAUCGGUAUUACUGGGCGUAAACCGCGCGGAGGUCGUGCAGUAAGAUGGGUGUGAAAUCCCCGGGCUUAACCUGGGAACUGGUUGCAUAACUGCUGAACUAGCGUACGGUAGGGGGUAGUGGAAUUUCCUGUGUAGCGGUGAAAUGCGUAGAUAUAGGAAGGAACACCAGUGGCGAAGGCGACUACCUGGACUGAUACUGACACUGAGGUGCGAAAGCGUGGGGAGCAAACA
rnacentral:rRNA from 1 species